UCAAUAUCUUAUGCCUCAGUCUUCUCCAAUUGAUUGACUACUGAUUUGACUUUGCAUUUUUUAAUCAAAGGGUACUCCUUCAAGCUUUUCUUGUCUAUCUGCCUCUUACCACAACACUUGCCCCCCCAGCAUAAUCACUCAGACCACAGGCUCCCCACCAUAAGGUAUGAGAGCAUGUUAUGCAUGUUAUGCCAGUGAUGAGCUUUAGAAUGGCCAUAAGAAAUUUUGGGAACUGAAAUAAGAAUGAUGUCACAAUGAGUUAGAGUUAGAAUGCUGUGGAAAAGUUUCUGAGAAGGGAGAGAAAUGGAGGGAAGUGAGACAUGACUAAGAUGUAGGUAAAAAGGAAUAAAGGUUUUCCCUGCUCAAAACUCUCAUGAAGAAAUUAAUGGAGAAGGAAAGCACAAAGCAUGCUUGAAAGAAAGCAAUGAAAGGAGGAGGAUGACUGGAGUUUCACAGCUGCUUUAAUACAACUGGUUUCACUUAGAGAAGAUGACAUGUUGAAAUGUGAUGAGUAAAGAUGUGCAGAAUGCUUCCCCAGUAAUUGGAAUUCAAGCAACAAUAACACUGGGCAUUGUUGGAUCCUUUACAACUUUAAGAAAAAGGUCUCCUUCCUUCAUUUUGGAAAAAAGCGCACAUAUUAUAGAACAUCAUGACUUUAUUCAACAUUAAAAAGAGA
rnacentral:lncRNA from 1 species